GACGCUGACGAGCGGCGGACGGGUGAGUAAUGCAUAGGAAUCUGCCCGGUAGUGGGGGAUAACCUGGGGAAACCCAGGCUAAUACCGCAUACGUCCUACGGGAGAAAGGGGGCUUCGGCUCGCGCUAUCGGAUGAGCCUAUGCCGGAUUAGCUGGUUGGUGGGGUAAUGGCCCACCAAGGCGACGAUCCGUAGCUGGUCUGAGAGGAUGAUCAGCCACAUCGGGACUGAGACACGGCCCGAACUCCUACGGGAGGCAGCAGUGGGGAAUAUUGGACAAUGGGGGCAACCCUGAUCCAGCCAUGCCGCGUGUGUGAAGAAGGCCUUCGGGUUGUAAAGCACUUUCAGCGAGGAAGAACGCCUGGUGGUUAAUACCCACCAGGAAAGACAUCACUCGCAGAAGAAGCACCGGCUAACUCCGUGCCAGCAGCCGCGGUAAUACGGAGGGUGCAAGCGUUAAUCGGAAUUACUGGGCGUAAAGCGCGCGUAGGUGGCUUGAUAAGCCGGUUGUGAAAGCCCCGGGCUCAACCUGGGAACGGCAUCCGGAACUGUCAAGCUAGAGUACAGGAGAGGAAGGUAGAAUUCCCGGUGUAGCGGUGAAAUGCGUAGAGAUCGGGAGGAAUACCAGUGGCGAAGGCGGCCUUCUGGACUGAUACUGACACUGAGGUGCGAAAGCGUGGGUAGCAAACAGGAUUAGAUACCCUGGUAGUCCACGCCGUAAACGAUGUCGACCAGCCGUUGAGUGCCUAGCGCACUUUGUGGCGAAGUUAACGCGAUAAGUCGACCGCCUGGGGAGUACGGCCGCAAGGUUAAAGCCGC
rnacentral:rRNA from 1 species